rfam:Toxocara canis scaffold515, whole genome shotgun sequence.
CGGGCAGUAGCUCAGUGGUAGAGCUCCCGCUUCAUAGCGGCAAGACCUGGAUUCGAUUCCCGGCUGCUUGC